GGGAUAUUGGUCAAUGGUCGGAAGACUGAACCAGCCAUGCCGCGUGAGGGAAUGAGGCCCUACGGGUCGUGAACCUCUUUUAUUCGGGGACAAGGACUUCCACGAGAUGGGAGUUUGAGGGUACCGAAGGAAUAAGCGUCGGCUAACUCCGUGCCAGCAGCCGCGGUAAUACGGAGGACGCGAGCGUUAUCCGGAUUCAUUGGGUUUAAAGGGUGCGCAGGCGGCCUGUCAAGUCAGCGGUGAAAGCCCGGGGCCCAACCCCGGAAGUGCCGUUGAUACUAUCGGGCUGGAAUGCGGUCGAGGCGGGCGGAACGUGGCGUGUAGCGGUGAAAUGCGUAGAUAUGCCACAGAACGCCGAUAGCGGAGGCAGCUCGCCAGGCCUGCAUUGACGCUCGGGCACGAAAGCGUGGGGAUCGAACA
rnacentral:rRNA from 1 species